rnacentral:rRNA from 1 species
UACGAAGGGGGCUAGCGUUGUUCGGAAUUACUGGGCGUAAAGCGCACGUAGGCGGAUUUGUAAGUCAGGGGUGAAAUCCCGGGGCUCAACCUCGGAACUGCCUUUGAUACUGGAGAGCUUGAGUCCGGGAGAGGUGAGUGGAACUGCGAGUGUAGAGGUGAAAUUCGUAGAUAUUCGCAAGAACACCAGUGGCGAAGGCGGCUUACUGGUCCGGUUCUGACGCUGAGGCGCGAAAGCGUGGGGAGCAAACAGG